UAAACAUUACCUGAGGUUACAGACCGUCUUUCUAAUCGAUUAUUGGGCUUGCCUGUUUUGUGUUGCGCUCCGAGCGCAAGAUUCUUGCACCGCGCAAAAGGAAGCACUCUGCGUACCCACUGAACGGCAUUCUACAAUUUUCGUCGCUCCCGCAUCCCACCGCAGCCUAUCAUGUGUGGAGGAUUCCAUUGACAGAACAGUGUGCACGUUUUGGGCCGCGACGGCCGGUUGAGCUACUGGCGCGUGGUGGACGUGGUGGAGGGUGGGAUCCUCGUCGAUCUGCUCUGUCUCAACCGUCGACGUGAAUUCUACUUAAACGACAACUGUUUCUUGCCGCGCCCUCCGCUGCCAGGAACCUUCCUGGCCAAGCUUUUUGCUGCACAAUUGCCAACAACUCCUGUGAUGGUCCUGGUGCCGGAAACGCCGUCCGGUCCGUGGAUUUGGGUCCCUGGUGAAAUGCCUUGUCACGGACGCGGAGUGCGGUAUAAGUCUUACGAUUCGGCCGUUGUCAGUUGGCAGGAUGCUAUUACAGGAAUAUCCUGCACGGAUAUCCUCCCGAUCGAGCGAAUCCUCUGCCCCUUGUUUGACUGUUACAACGGUAAGCUGCCUGAGCGGGAUAAUCUUCAGAUGAUGGUGGAGAAGGAACUCAAAAGCCGGGAGUCCGUUAACACUGUCAACUAUGCUGCGCUACACCCGUGCAUGGCUCCCGGGACGUUCACAGCACGCCGUCGGCAUCGGCUGGCCCCCCUGAGGAGAGCUCGCUGACCGCACAGGAAGCGACUGCACUAAUCAAGCGCUGGAAUAACUCCCCGCCGGGGUACCCCUUGAUGAAUGUUUGUUUGGUGGAGAUCGUCGCUGGCCGGUUGGACUGGGUCUGCAGAACUCGGUCUCUUGAACACGCCCUCCAAGCAACCAACAUAACACUUUCGCAAUUCCUGAAACGAUUUCAUGAAGAAGGGAUGCAGGCGACUGUAACCACGACAUCGGAUGAUUCCAGCGUACUUUCGAUGGAAGUGUGGAGGGAAGUGUUUUCACACUUGGACACGGUGAACCAGACUCGGCUGCGUAUGGUUAAUGCUACGUGGAACCUGAUGAUGGAUUCGCCCACACUGACGACCAGUAUCGUCCUUGAACCCCAUCCGCGGUGCAAGCAGUGUCCAGAUGCGCCUUACCAGUUUCUCCCGGCUGCGGCACUGUUCAAGUAUCUCCGUCCAGGCACUCGCCAUGUUGUGCUGGCCGAUCGGCAGAUGAAGUUGGAAACCGAAGACCUCUUGAAAAUAAUCGACAUGAUAAAGUACGUGGCUGAACAGAGAACCGAGAUGCGGCUGACCGCGCUGCAUCUGGUGGGCGCACAACUGAACCUUUUUAUCAUCUCUACACCGAACAUCUGGAAGCCUAUCACGUGCGUACUGCAUGAAAGUAACGCUGCGCUUCGGUCACCAUAUACUCCCGUCCGUGAAUACUGCCGUCUGGAGGAUUUCAUUUAAAUCGGCCGCGGCCUGCCGGGUGGAGUGCUCUGUAUGGUCGAUUGCGAGAUGGAAUGGCAUUGUCCGUUUAAUUUUUUUCCCUGGCGACAUGGCCCUGCUAUGACGGUGAAAUUACCCAAGGCGCGUCUGCCGUUGAACGGGAAUUUCGGCUGCGCACUGUGGACGGCAUUCGAGGCGGCGCUACCGAUGCCGUGUGAGGCGCAACUGCGCACGCUUCGGCAGUGGUUUGCAGCCGUGUUUGCUCUAAGCCACGACCACUGGACCAAAGUAGCCGUCGGUAAGGUAUUGUACGCUACGCAGUUCAAUGAUUUGCGUCCGUUCUCGCAUUACCGCGGGAAGAAGUGGUGCCUCGACGGUUUGGAAGGUUUAGAGUUGGGGAAGCUGUCGCGAAUUACCUUGCACUUCCUCACGCGGCUGUCCGAGCCGCUCUGGAAAGGCUUGAGCGAGGCGUGAUCUGUCGUCGUAGUAAUUUUUGGAAGGAAUUGUGUGAGCGAGUUUCGGGUCCCAUUAACACUUGGAUGGUUUUGUACAGAGGGCGGCAUGUUAACCAUUUAUUAACUGCUUUUAGGUGUAUCCUCCGCGACCUUUUCACAUACGAAUAUGCUGUAAUUUACUGAUUAUUGGUUACGAUAUCGAGAUAACCUGCCAGACUGCCGUCGAACACGCGCACGCGAUCACCGCCCCAGUGAAGAGCGCACCGGCAUCGCGAUCAGUUUCCGCCGGCAGACACCGCCGCGAUAUCCGGUCAAUACGCUUCUUUACAAGGCAUCGAAGGUGCGCUGGAAAUUCUCCCCCAGCCGGUCGAAUUUCUCCGGGGAGAAGGCCUUCUUAGGAUACUUCUCCUUGACCAUGUUGUCGUCUUUGUAGCUGCUGGGCGGUCGCAUCACCAGGUUGCGCUCCGGCAAUUUCACGGCCGGCACGUCGCCUAGUUUUCGCGGAUUAAAGAUGUUAUCCGAUGGGGCAAAUCCGAAGGCCGCCUCGGGAGGGACGACGCUGAUGGCUCGUUUACUGGCAUCGGCAGCAGCCGCGGCGGCAGCAGCAUCACGGGAUAACUGGGUAUUGGCUCGGGCCUACACACACGUAAAGGAUUGUACGCAAGGCUUCUACCGCUCGCGCCCUGAACGGUGUACACACUGACCUUGAGCGCCCAUGCCGAACAUCGGAUUCCCACCCAUCCCGCCCGCAUCCAUUCCCCCGGACCGGGCAAACGGAUUAGCCGGAUCCCCGAAUCCGCGCGGCAUCCCCGGAUCCAUCCCCGCGCCGAACCCGAACCCGGGCAUGCCCAUGCCGGGCGCCGCCACCGCCGCCGUCCCGCACAUCAACAACACGGUGAAACUGUACAUGCUAGUAGCUUGGCUAUUAUAAUAAUCUUUUGGUAGGUACCACAACAUCAACCGAGAUCACUGACUGAGAAGAAAGACGAUGCGGCUGGUUAAGCGACCGAUGCAGCACAUAUCCGGUCGUGGCUGAUCAUCAUCAUCACGAUCAGGCAGUCAUAAUGCCGCCGAUGACUAGAGCAGGUCGUUAUAAUGCAUCCGCACCGUACAUACCGGCAAAAUCACGAUGACACACUGUGAACAAUUGUACUUUUUAUCACGGUCAGUGCGGUAAUUAUUUUACCGGCGUCGUUGUUUUUUCGCGCCCGCCGGCGUUGCAAGAUAGUUCGAAUAUAUAUAUAUUCACGUGUA